rnacentral:rRNA from 1 species
UACAGAGGUCUCGAGCGUUGUUCGGAUUCAUUGGGCGUAAAGGGUGCGUAGGCGGCGGGGCAAGUCUGAUGUGAAAUCCCGGGGCUCAACCCCGGAACUGCAUUGGAUACUGCCUUGCUAGAGUACUGGAGAGGAGACUGGAAUUUACGGUGUAGCAGUGAAAUGCGUAGAGAUCGUAAGGAAGACCAAUGGCGAAGGCAAGUCUCUGGACAGUGACUGACGCUGAGGCACGAAGGCCAGGGGAGCAAACGGG